UUUUUUUUUUUUAAGAUUUAUUUAUUUAUUUUAUGUAAGUACACUGUAGCUGUCCUCAGACACUCCAGAAGAGGGCAUCAUAUUUUGUUAUGGAUGGUUGUGAGCCACCAUGUGGUUGCUGGGAUUUGAACUCGGGACCUUCGGAAGAGUAGUCGGCGCUCUUACCCACCGAGCUAUCUCGCCAGCCCCUGAUCAUUAAUUCUGUCUAACUGAAACACCCAUAUUGCCCUGAAUUUUAGUCCUUAGGGUUAUACAGAGUUCUUUUCCAUUCCUUCUCUCCACCCCCUUCUUUCAUUGUGUAUGCGUGUACACAUAUUUAUAUGUGUGAGUACAGGCAUGUGGCUGCAUCAUAGUUUGUGACUAGAAAUUAGAGGACAAGCUGACACCUCAUCUUCCACCUUGUUUGAGAUAGCCUGUUCACCAUUGAGUGCACCAGGCCAGCUGGCCCUUGAGCUUCAGGGAAUUUUCUGUCUGUGCUUCCCAUUUCAUUGUAGAAGUGCUGGGGUUAUAUAGAUACAUACUGCUAUGUGGCUUUGUGUGGGCUCUGGGGAUCUGAACUCAGGUCCUCACACUGUGCGGCAUGAGUUUUGCUCACUGAGAUGUCUCCUUAGGAUUGCUCUUUUUUUGCUGUUGGUGUUCCUUUAUUUUUGAGUCAGGGUCUUGCUGCAUAACCCUGCUAGCUUAGUACUUGUUAUGUAGCCAAGAAUGGCCUCAAACGCACAGUAAUCCUCCUCCUCCUCCUCAGCCUCCUGAGUUGUAGGAUCCCAGUCUGCACACAUCUGGCUGCAGCCUCUUCUGUCCUCUAUGCGUCUAAGGGUAGCAUCGUCCCUCACUCUAAGGGGUGCUUCUUCAAGCUAAAACUGCUUUCACUGAUUUUUAAUUUAUUGUAUGUGUUGCAGAGACACGGAUAUGAACUUUAUAUCUUCUUAUGCUUUAGAUGACAGUAGUUCAACCAUCUACCUUCUUAGUCGUGUUGCCUGCCCUUCAUGUUGUCUGAUACUGGCUCUGUAGACCUAUCUAGCCUCAAACUCACAGAGAUCUACCUGCCUCUAUCUCCCAAGUGCUGGGAUUAAAGGUGAACAGCAUUGUGCCCAGGCUGACCACCACCUUUUCCUAGCUACUGAGUGCUUGCUGCUUUUUCCUGUGUUGUUUUAGAACCCAGAUGGCUCACUCUCCCAAGCAGCCAUGAUGCAGAGUGCCCUGGCCAAGGAAAGACGGGAGCUGAAGCAGGCCCAGCGGGAAGCAGAGAUGGAUUCUAUACCCAUGGGGCUCAACAAACACUGGGUUGAUCCCUUGCCCGAUGGUAAGCCUCCAGAGUAAAUGGCUUUAUUUAUAUGUCACAGUUGAUACCACAGACACAAAGUGAAAAUUUAGCCUUGGUUUCCUUUUUGUAUUGUAGCUUUUCUUUUUCUUUUUCUUUUCUUUCUUUUUUUUUUUUUUUAAAGAUUUAUGUAUUUAUUAUAUGUAAGUACACUAUGACUGUCGUCAGACACUCCAGAAAAGGGCAUCAGAUCUCAUUACAGAUGGUUGUGAGCCACCAUGUGGUUGCUGAGAUUUGAACUCAGGACCUUCAGAAAAGCAGUUGGUGCUCUUAACCACUGAGCCAUCUCUCCAGCCUGUAUUGUAGCUUUUCUAUAUUACAUUCCUUUUUACAAUUUAUUACUUCUAAAAAAUUAUUUUUAGCUGGGGGUUGUUGUUGGUGUAUACUUUUAAUUCCAACACUUGGGAUGCAGAGCCAGGCAGAUGUCUUGAGUUUAAGGUCAGCCUGAUCUACAGAGCACGUUCCAGGACAGCGAGGGCUACACAGAGAAACUCUGUCUCAAAAACAAACAAACAAACAUAAACCCAAAAAACCUUUCUAUGUAUUUAUCUAUUUUUUUAAGUUUUUGGUUUUUUGUAUGUGUUUGUUUCUGUAUGGUGCUGAACCCUCUGGACCUGUUACAGGCAGUUGUAAGUUGCAUGAUAUGGAUGCUGGGAUCUGAACUCUGGUUUUCUGGAAGAGUAGCAACCAGCUCAUUUGAAAGAACAACAAAUAGUCUUAGUCAUUGAGCCAUCUCUCCAAAGCUUUAAGUUUUAAACAGUUGCUUAAAAUAAGUGUUUCAGUAACCUUGGUCAUUACAGUGACUGAGUUUGUCUCUAAACAACUUUUAAGACUUUUAUUCUAAGCAUAGUAUAGUGUAAGGGCUAGAGAGCAGUCUUAGUGGUAGAUUGCUUAUGUAGCAUACAUGAAGCUCUAGGUUCAAUUCCCAGCCCUGGGGAGAAAGAGACUACACUAUGAGGUGGAUGGGGUUGCCCAAACCUAUAAUCCCAGCACUUUGGAGGUAGAGGCAGAAUUAAGAGUUCGAGGCCAAACUGGAGGGUUGUAGUGGGACACAUUUUUAAUCCCAGCACUCGAGAGGCAGAGGCACAAGGGAUCUUGGAGUUUGAGGCCAGCCUUGUCUACAGAUCAAGUCACAGGACAUUCAAAGGUACGUACACAGAGAAACUCUGUCUUGG
rnacentral:lncRNA from 1 species